rnacentral:tRNA from 1 species
AUUUAUAUAGUUUAUAUAAAACAUUAUAUUUUCAUUAUAAAAAAAUUCAAAUAUUAUAAAUA